GCCCGCGGGCCUGGCCCGGAAAUGCCCAUUGCGGGGCGGGAUUGGGUAAAGAUAUUAUGGCCCGUUUAGUUGCGGGUCUUGCGGGACAGGACCGCGAUGGUACUGGGCCGAAGCGGGACGGGCCAAAGCGGGAUGCGGGGAAACAUUGAGGCCCGCUACAGUUUUCUCGUUUGUCUCUUUGGUGAUUUACCGAUAAUAGAGCUAAACGGUGAACAGGUGAUGACGAUAGCGAUUCUUGCUCUCUGUGUUUCUUCUUCUUCGAUCGAGUGAUCGACGACGACAAAGCAUCUUCUUCUUCUCCUCUGUACAGUAGAUCGACUUGCAUGUCCAGAGUUAUUUAGCUCGUGCCUCUCUGUUUACACGAUUUUAGAUUUCUGUUCGUCCUUUCAAAGGUAAGUAAUCUUCUUCCUUGUUCUGUCUCUAUCCCUGUGAAUGUGUUCUGUGAAUCUUCUUAGUUAGAUUAUGUCUCUCUGCGAAAGUAUUUUUUCCUAACAGUGUAAUUAUAUAUAUAUAUAUAUAUAUAUAUAUAUAUAUAUAUAUAUAUAUAUUGUGUUGUUAUGUUUUGUUUAUGUAUUAGAUGGCUUGGUUGUAUAAGCGUUGUUCUCUUUUUGUUCUGCUUACUCUCGGUUGCUAGUUAUUAAUUAAAAAAUUCAACACAACUUUACUCUUGGUUGUUUCUGUAUUGUUCUGUUUUUGUUUCGGUAUUGAUAUAUAUAUAUAUAUAUAUAUAUAUAUAUAUUGUGUCGUUCUUCUUUUGUUUCUGUAUUAGAUGGCUUUGUUGUUUUUUAAGUAUUGUUCUGUUUUUGAUUCUUGUUGAUAACACGGUUCAAGCACUCUUGUUAUCUUGUUUGAUAACAGACUGGUCUUCUUUUUUAUUAAAUAUCGCUUACACUUGUUUUGUUUUUCACGCAUGAUCAUGAAUUCAUGAGUCGAUACUUGUUUGAUGGAGUGAUGUUGGACAAGGAGAGGAGAGACUGAUAUUAUUCCCUUCUGCCUUCGGGUUGCUUCAGGACUUGAGGUGACACAGGUCCCAAGCCUUGAUGAAGAUUGCUGGCCCGCGGGCCGACCCGCAUACCCGCUGCUAUAGGGCGGGUCGGGAUUGGUCAUAGGUUUCAGAGACCGCAGCCCGCCGCGGUACGACCCGCAGAGACUCGAAUGAAACUGAGCCCGCGACGGGGCGGGUCAUUUGGUUGCGGGAGAGCCCAAAUGCCAUCACUAGUUUUUUUCAUUUUUUAUGCUGUAUGUUUAAAUAUUAUUUAUAAUUUUCGAAAAUUAGUAAUAUUAAAAUGUAAAACUAUAUUUUAUGCCACGUGUCAUCUUUCGAAAGAAGUUUUUUUUGCUUA